rnacentral:lncRNA from 1 species
GGGGAGCACAAAUCAAGGUGGCUUAUGAGAUUGGGAAAUUUUAAUAAAGAAAAGCAUGUGGGUUUGGAUUUGGUUUGAGAGUUAACAAAAAUACAUAAUACAAGAUUAUUGAGGGCCAUAUUAUAGGAUAUAAACUCUAUUUGAUAGGAUGAGGAUUGUUGUAUGAGUGAGGCUACUAUGCUAUCGGAAGCACGGAGCCUUCCGUGCUUUCAGCUCGUUUUCGAUGUUGCGACUUUCGAAUCGUCGAUCGGCUCCGUUGAACUUGAUCUAGAGUAUUUGGAGUACCUAGAAAAUAAAUUUUAUUAUUUUUCGAUAUCAUUUGCCUACUGAUCAAAUGGGCUCAAAAUCAACAAAUUUCAAUGGCCGUAGUGAGCCGUUUGCAAGUUUAACGGUGUAGAAAUAUUCAAAUCACGUGAAAUUUUGAUAGAAAAUUCUUUAUACUAUAUAAAACAAGAUCAAUAUCUUUGAUUUAAAAUUUUAAUGUCAUAUUAUUACAUUUUAUAAGAUUUUUAUUUUCAGCCGUUGAUUUUGAGCCCCUUCGUUCACUAGGCAAAUGAUAUCGUAAAAUCAUAAAAUUUAUUUUCUCGGUACUUUAAAUACUCUAGAUCAAAUUUAACGGAGUCGAUCGACGAUUCGAAAGUCGCAACAUCGAAAAUGAGCUGGAAGCACGGAAGGCUCCGUGCUUCCGAUAGCAUAGUAGCCUCACUCUUGUUGUAUAAGCGUAUUCAUCAGACUAUUUUCUAUCAGAUUGAUUACAGAUUUAAUUUUUUUUAAAUUAUAAUUAGGUCGUGAUUUUGAGUGCGCCGG